UGUUUGGAUGGGGUUUUUUGUGAUUCGUCCUGCAUAACCAACUACUUCGACCUGCAUAUACGCAGGCAGGCUAAAAAAUGUUGUUUGUGAGACUCGUGCUGCAUAAGUGACCUUGGGAGCCUGAUCAAUUGACAAGAGGUGGCCUCCAGGUCAGAAUUGACCCUUCCCGUCUGGACACCAAGAGCUGUAAAUCUUACCUUGCAUCUCCUCAAGCUCCAGGCUGGGCUGCCUCCCCCAACCCCAGAAUGGAAUCCGGAAGGGGAAGCAAGCACACCUAGCCCAGACUCCUUGAAGAUGUAAACGCAUGAUAACAUAGGAAUGCAGCUUGCACCGAACCGCACGUAGUCAAACAAAUGUUUAACUUCAGAUCCCAUCAUUUGCCUUAUAAACACGGCCCUUAUAGAGUUGGUCAGUUGGAAGUCUGACCUGAGAGGAGGGCUUCUUGAUGAGUGCUUUCAAAAGCUUCCUCCCAGUUGAGACUGGCUGUGUCCACAGGGGUUCGCCAGUAGAUGAGAUUGGAUGUUCUUGAAGGCAAGAAGUUUGAAUGAUAGGGUUGUCAAGUCUUGGAAGAUUGGACUAAACUCUUCCCUCUCCUGCCCCUCAAAGGACUACCUCUGUCCUGAAGACGGAAUUUCCAACUGUUGCUGGACACUUUCACUCUGCUGUGCUAUGGCUGAGCCUUUCUUCUGAAGAAACUCCGUUCCCCCCUGCAAUGCAGGCUUUGGAAAGACAAGAUGUUUCUUAAGAAGUUUCUGAAAUGAAUAGUCACCAUCUGGAGCCAUUUACAAUAAGAAGAAGCCACCGAAGCAGUGUUCAAGAAGCUACCUCCUGAGAGCUGUGUUGCUGGAGAAGAUAGGGGAGCACAGAACAUUCAUGGAUUUCAUUCUCGUCAGUCAAGUUACUCCCCAUGGCCAUCAGUUAUCAGAAACUCACUCUGAAACAGUUUUAAAAAUUUGCAUG